GACGAACGCUGGCGGCGUGCUUAACACAUGCAAGUCGAACGGAAAGGCCCUGCUUUUGUGGGGUGCUCGAGUGGCGAACGGGUGAGUAACACGUGAGUAACCUGCCCUUGACUUUGGGAUAACUUCAGGAAACUGGGGCUAAUACCGGAUAGGAGCUCCUGCUGCAUGGUGGGGGUUGGAAAGUUUCGGCGGUUGGGGAUGGACUCGCGGCUUAUCAGCUUGUUGGUGGGGUAGUGGCUUACCAAGGCUUUGACGGGUAGCCGGCCUGAGAGGGUGACCGGCCACAUUGGGACUGAGAUACGGCCCAGACUCCCACGGGAGGCAGCGGUGGGGAAUAUUGCACAAUGGGCGGAAGCCUGAUGCAGCAACGCCGCGUGCGGGAUGACGGCCUUCGGGUUGUAAACCGCUUUCGCCUGUGACGAAGCGUGAGUGACGGUAAUGGGUAAAGAAGCACCGGCUAACUACGUG
rnacentral:rRNA from 1 species